rnacentral:rRNA from 1 species
CCUACGGGAGGCAGCAGUGGGGAAUUUUGGACAAUGGGGGCAACCCUGAUCCAGCCAUGCCGCGUGUCUGAAGAAGGCCUUCGGGUUGUAAAGGACUUUUGUUAGGGAAGAAAAGGAAAGUGCUAAUACCACUUUUUGCUGACGGUACCUAAAGAAUAAGCACCGGCUAACUACGUGCCAGCAGCCGCGGUAAUACGUAGGGUGCGAGCGUUAAUCGGAAUUACUGGGCGUAAAGCGGGCGCAGACGGUUACUUAAGCAGGAUGUGAAAUCCCCGGGCUUAACCUGGGAACUGCGUUCUGAACUGGGUAGCUAGAGUAUGUCAGAGGGGGGUAGAGUUCCACGUGUAGCAGUGAAAUGCGUAGAGAUGUGGAGGAAUACCGAUGGCGAAGGCAGCCCCCUGGGAUAAUACUGACGUUCAUGCCCGAAAGCGUGGGUAGCAAACAGGAUUAGAUACCCUGGUAGUCCACGCCCUAAACGAUGUCGAUUAGCUGUUGGGCAACUUGAUUGCUUAGUAGCGAAGCUAAUGCGUGAAAUCGACCGCCUGGGGAGUACGGUCGCAAGAUUAAAACUCAAAGGAAUUGACGG